rnacentral:hammerhead_ribozyme from 1 species
AUUCAACUGAUGAGUCACAGAUAGGAUGAAACACGCUUCUUGGAU